CUAAGACAAGGCCGAGGUCUCUGGGGAAGGCAGAGUGUAGUCUAGAAGAAGAUGAGGCUGCUGGGUCUUCUCCUUUUCCUGGUGAUGGCUCCCCAAGGAGUCCUGUCCCAGGUGCAGCUGCAGGAGUCGGGCCCAGGACUGGUGAAGCCCUCACAGACCCUCUCCCUCACCUGCACUGUCACUGGUUCCUCCAUCACAACCAGCUAUUCUGGUUGGAGCUGGAUCCGCCAGCCUCCAGGGAAGGGGCUGGAGUACAUGGGGAUCAUAUAUAAUGAUGGGGACACAUACUACAAUCCAUCCUUCAAGAGCCGCACCUCCAUCUCCAGAGACACCUCCAGAAACCAGUUCUCCCUGCAGCUGAGCUCUGUGACCGCCGAGGACACGGCCGUGUAUUACUGUGCAGGAGGCACA